AUUGAACGCUGGCGGCAGGCCUAACACAUGCAAGUCGAGCGGAUGAAGGGAGCUUGCUCCUGGAUUCAGCGGCGGACGGGUGAGUAAUGCCUAGGAAUCUGCCUGGUAGUGGGGGCUAACGUCCGGAAACGGGCGCUAAUACCGCAUACGUCCUGAGGGCGAAAGGGGGGGAUCUUCGGACCUCACGCUAUCAGAUGAUCCUAGGUCGGAUUAGCUAGUUGGUGGGGUAAAGGCCUACCAAGGCGACGAUCCGUAACUGGUCUGAGAGGAUGAUCAGUCACACUGGAACUGAGACACGGUCCAGACUCCUACGGGAGGCAGCAGUGGGGAAUAUUGGACAAUGGGCGAAAGCCUGAUCCAGCCAUGCCGCGUGUGUGAAGAAGGUCUUCGGAUUGUAAAGCACUUUAAGUUGGGAGGAAGGGCAGUAAGUUAAUACCUUGCUGUUUUGACGUUACCAACAGAAUAAGCACCGGCUAACUUCGUG
rnacentral:rRNA from 1 species